rnacentral:lncRNA from 10 species
AUAGGAGAGUGUGAAGAUACAAGAUAGCAACUUGAUAUAUAACUCACAUCAAGAAAACUUUCACCAGCGUUUAAGGGAAAGGAGUUGUAGAUGUGGGUCAUUUAAUACCCACUUCCAAAUUCACUGAAGUGGACAGCGCCCUACACACAAGGCUAGAGUGCAGUGGUGCGAUCUCGGCUCACUACAACUCCUACCUCCUGAGUUCAAGCGAUUCUCCUGCCUCAGCCUCCCGAGUAGCCAGGACUACAGUGUCGAGGUCAUGAAAGCCACUGAAAGACUGAGAACUGUUCCAGAAAGGAGACUAGAGAGACAUGGCAGCCAAAUGCUCCACAUAAUCCUGUCCUGGAUUCUUCUCCUACAAAGGAAGGGGUCUGAGGAUUAGGUGGUAGUACUGAAUCAAGGAACUAUCAUCUCCUAUUGUGCUGUAGGCAAACUUGAGUGACAUGGUGGAAGCCACCAGAGAGAAUAUCUGAAGCAAUUCAUUAAAAUCUUGGCAGCCAGACCCCAGCUCCCACUUUCCCUGAAAGCUCCCUUUAAUGAAGCUGAACGCUGUCCCAGCAAUUCCCUCCACAGAAGACCUACUGUCACCACCUCUGGAGGGGCAAUUCCUGGAGGAACCAAGUCAGCCAAUCGAAGGUCCUGAAUAAGCAAAAACUAAGUAAAUAAAUUACCAUCUCGAA